UUGACCUCGGAUCAGGUAGGAAUACCCGCUGAACUUAAGCAUAUCAAUAAGCGGAGGAAAAGAAACCAACAGGGAUUGCCCUAGUAACGGCGAGUGAAGCGGCAACAGCUCAAAUUUGAAAUCUGGCCUCGGCCCGAGUUGUAAUUUGCAGAGGAUGUUUCUGGCGCGGUGCCUUCCGAGUUCCCUGGAACGGGACGCCACAGAGGGUGAGAGCCCCGUAUGGUUGGACACCAAGCCUGUGUGAAACUCCUUCGACGAGUCGAGUAGUUUGGGAAUGCUGCUCAAAAUGGGAGGUAAAUCUCUUCUAAAGCUAAAUACCGGCCAGAGACCGAUAGCGCACAAGUAGAGUGAUCGAAAGAUGAAAAGCACCUUGAAAAGGGGGUUAAACAGUACGUGAAAUUGUUGAAAGGGAAGCGCUUGUGACCAGACUUGCGCCGGGCGGUUCAUCCGGGGUUCUCCCCGGUGCACUCCGCCCGGGUCAGGCCAGCAUCGGUUCUCGUUGGGGGAUAAGAACGGCAGGAACGUGGCCCUCCCUCUGGGAGGGUGUUAUAGCCUGUCGUACGAUACCCUGAUGGGGACCGAGGUUCGCGCUCCGCAAGGAUGCUGGCGUAAUGGUCAUCAGCGACCCGUCUUGAAACACGGACCAAGGAGUCGUCCAUUAGAGCGAGCGUUUGGGUGUCAAACCCGCACGCGUAAUGAAAGUGAAAUUAGGUGAGAGCUUCGGCGCAUCAUCGACCGAUCCUGAUGUUCUCGGAUGGAUUUGAGUAAGAGUUUUAACGGACGGACCCGAAAGACAGUGAACUAUGCUUGUAUAGGGUGAAGCCAGAGGAAACUCUGGUGGAGGCUCGCAGCGGUUCUGACGUGCAAAUCGAUCGUCAAAUAUGAGCAUGGGGGCGAAAGACUAAUCGA
rnacentral:rRNA from 1 species